UCGAGCGGGGGUAGCAAUGCCCUAGCGGCGGACGGGUGAGGAAUGCAUCGGAACGUGCCCAGUCAUGGGGGAUAACACAGGGAAACUUGUGCUAAUACCGCAUACGCCCUGAGGGGGAAAGUGGGGGACCGCAAGGCCUCACGUGAUUGGAGCGGCCGAUGCCCGAUUAGCUUGUUGGUGAGGUAAAGGCUCACCAAGGCGACGAUCGGUAGCUGGUCUUAGAGGACGAUCAGCCACACUGGAACUGAGACACGGUCCAGACUCCUACGGGAGGCAGCAGUGGGGAAUAUUGGACAAUGGGGGCAACCCUGAUCCAGCCAUGCCGCGUGAGUGAAGAAGGCCUUCGGGUUGUAAAGCUCUUUGAGCGGGGAGGAAGGUUCGGCGGUUAAUAACCAUCGGAAUUGACGUUACCUGCAGAACAAGCACCGGCUAACUCUGUGCCAGCAGCCGCGGUAAUACAGAGGGUGCGAGCGUUAAUCGGAAUUACUGGGCGUAAAGCGUGCGUAGGCGGUUUGAUAAGCUGGAUGUGAAAUCCCCGGGCUUAACCUGGGAAUUGCAUUCAGGACUGUCUGACUAGAGUCUGGGAGAGGGUGGUGGAAUUUCCUGUGUAGCGGUGAAAUGCGUAGAUAUAGGAAGGAACAUCAGUGGCGAAGGCGACUGCCUGGCCCAAGACUGACGCUGAGGCACGAAAGCGUGGGUA
rnacentral:rRNA from 1 species